CCAAGUAACUACAGGAACAAUAUGUGUGGUUAUGUGCAGUCUGAAUGCUUGAGACUUUCAACUUAUAUAAUUCUAAGAAUUGAAUUCAAAUUGUGGGUGUUGGGAUCAAAGAAAUACCUGAUAGACACAUUUCCACAAUACAAAUCUGUUUAGGAUGAAGUUGACUUAUACAUGACUAACUAGGACUUUGCAUUGAAAUAUUAUUGUUAAACAAAUAGAUCUACAUUAGACAUGCCUACAGAUUUGUUUUGAAACUAAAAUCAAUUAAGGUUAUUAGUAGAAAUGAAAAGGACAAAUUUCUUAACUGGGAUUUAG